rnacentral:rRNA from 1 species
UACAGAGGUCCCGAGCGUUGUUCGGAUUCACUGGGCGUAAAGGGUGCGUAGGUGGUGAGGCAAGUCGGAUGUGAAAUCUCCGGGCUUAACCCGGAAACUGCAUUGGAAACUACCUUGCUAGAGGUUUUGAGGGGGGACUGGAAUUCUCGGUGUAGCAGUGAAAUGCGUAGAUAUCGAGAGGAACACCAGUGGCGAAGGCGAGUCCCUGGAAAACACCUGACACUGAGGCACGAAAGCUAGGGGAGCAAACAGG